UGUUCCUACGGGGCGCAGCAGUGGGGAAUAUUGGUCAAUGGGCGAGAGCCUGAACCAGCCAAGUCGCGUGAGGGAAGACGGUCCUAUGGAUUGUAAACCUCUUUUGCCGGGGAGCAAAAAGCGGUACGUGUACCGCAUCGAGAGUACCCGGAGAAAAGGCAUCGGCUAACUCCGUGCCAGCAGCCGCGGUAAUACGGAGGAUGCGAGCGUUAUCCGGAUUUAUUGGGCGUAAAGCGAGUGCAGGCGGUUCAAUAAGUCUGAUGUGAAAGCCUUCGGCU
rnacentral:rRNA from 1 species